UAUCUCUGUUUGAUUCUUUAGAUCCCUCACUUGAGGCCUGCUGAGUACAAGAGGUCUCGAUUAUCCAGAAACAGGAGGACCGUGAACCGUGCUUAUGGUGGUGUUUUGUCCGGUUCUGCUGUUAGGGAAAGAAUCAUCCGUGCUUUCCUUGUGGAGGAGCAAAAGAUUGUGAAGAAGGUUUUGAAGCUUCAAAAGGCAAAGGAAAAGGUUGCUCCCAAGAGCUAGACCCUAUUAGUUUUUAUGUUUUAUGGCUCUGUUCUAGCGAUAGUACUGGUUGCAGAGAAAACAUUGUGUACUCAUCCAAAUUUUUAAGCUUUUUGGUUUUGGAUCUUUGCCUCUGUCGACAAUUCGCUUCGGUUUUGGUUUCUCGUUCCUUUGAGUUCUCAUUUUCCUUUUCUAUUCUCUUA